rnacentral:rRNA from 1 species
GUAGGUGGCAAGCGUUGUCCGGAAUUAUUGGGCGUAAAGCGCGCGCAGGCGGUUCUUUAAGUCUGAUGUGAAAGCCCACGGGCUCAACCGUGGAGGGUCAUUGGAAACUGGAGAACUUGAGUACAGAAGAGGAAAGCGGAAUUCCACGUGUAGCGGUGAAAUGCGUAGAGAUGUGGAGGAACACCAGUGGCGAAGGCGGCUUUCUGGUCCGUAACUGACGCUGAGGCGCGAAAGCGUGGGGAGCAAACAGGAUUAGAUACCCUGGUAGUCCACGCCGUAAACGAUGAGUGCUAAGUGUUAGGGGGUUUCCGCCCCUUAGUGCUGCAGCUAACGCAUUAAGCACUCCGCCUGGGGAGUACGGCCGCAAAGGCUG